AAUUCUCAAGCUUCAACCUUGUUGUAAUGACUUGGUUUGUUGAGGGUUGCCGCAAGUUCUCGGACUUUUGAACGGCUCCCUUUAAAUGCAUUAGUGGUGACUUGGAUCCACUAUCAAAUGUGUUGAUAGUUAUCUACACUUUGAAGUGACUCACUGUCUUUCCGCUUCUAACUGUCCUUUGGGACAAUAUCUUGAA
rnacentral:misc_RNA from 1 species